rnacentral:rRNA from 1 species
GACGAACGCUGGCGGCGUGCUUAACACAUGCCAGUCGAACGGAAAGGCCCUGCUUUUGUGGGGUGCUCGAGUGGCGAACGGGUGAGUAACACGUGAGUAACCUGCCCUUGACUUUGGGAUAACUUCAGGAAACUGGGGCUAAUACCGGAUAGGAGCUCCUGCUGCAUGGUGGGGGUUGGAAAGUUUCGGCGGUUGGGGAUAGACUCGCGGCUUAUCAGCUUGUUGGUGGGGUAGUGGCUUACCAAGGCUUUGACGGGUAGCCGGCCUGAGAGGGUGACCGGCCACAUUGGGACUGAGAUACGGCCCAGACUCCUACGGGAGGCAGCAGUGGGGAAUAUUGCACAAUGGGCGGAAGCCUGAUGCAGCAACGCCGCGUGCGGGAUGACGGCCUUCGGGUUGUAAACCGCUUUCGCCUGUGACGAAGCGUGAGUGACGGUAAUGGGUAAAGAAGCACCGGCUAACUACGU